UCUUGUCUCCGGCUCAGGAAGAGGAUAGCAGUCAGCACGCUGAGCCUUCCCCGCUAUCACACCGCCGCAGCAGUGGCAGGGGCAGGCAGACAGAGCUUCAAAUGCACCUUGGCACAAGGUCAUGACUUUAUGGAAUGGAAACUGGAGGAGAUCUUCCCUAUGGCCUGUUAUGACAACCAAAGUUCCUUGUUUGUUGGCCUUAUGCAGAAGACAAGAGCACUUCUACUAAUAGGUGGCAUCAGCAUUCAGGUUAAGUGGUACAUGGGGAGGGAGCAUGACUUCUACUUCCAGACCCAGCACAUCCUCGAGAGGUUACAGGCUUUUGUACAACAGGCAAGCCAGCAUCAUCAUAGGUACUGGAAAAAUAGCCAUGACCUUUGCAGACAAAUUCCAUCAAAGCCUUUCUGGGCUUCGAUUCCUCCUCCUCUUCUCUCUCAAAGUUUACACAGAAGUGUAGAAAAGCAGUUAGAGCCCUUCAAUGCCCCACGGUCUCAUAAGAAACCUAACCCCCGCACUAGGUUAAUCCAAUAAUAAUUGCUAUACAAUCAUGCAGCGACUAGAGCUCUGUUAAUAAUUCACAGCUAAUUAUUUAUUAGGCACAUUUGCCUUUUUCUGCCUUUGGCCGCAUUGUGAAAUCCUUGAGCGUGUUUGAUUCAAAAGCAUUUGCAAAUACAUUUAGCAACUCUUCCUUGGCCUGAAGAUACGUGCAGUUGCAACACUUAGGCUUUGCACAAUGCACUGUGUGGUGUAACGCGUGUAAAAUUGGAGCUGUAAUGAUACAGCCUUCAUCUCCCUGUAGGGGGGCUGCAAAGAUGAUGGAGCUGGGCUGGUCUCAGUGGGGGCAGAUGGCAGGACAAGGAGCAAUGGGCUCAAGCUGCAGCAAGGGAAGUUGAGGUUGGAUAUUAGGAAAAAUUUUCCCACUAGGAGGUUGGGUAACCUGUUCCAGUGCUUUACUAGAGAAGUUAUGGACUCCAUCUUUGGAGGUUUUGAAGACCCAGGUAGACGAAGCCUUGGCUGGGAUGGUGUAGUUGGGGCUGGUCCUGCUUGGAGCAGGGGGUUGGACUAGAUGCGACCUCCUGAGGUUCCUGCAACCCUCCUUUUCUAUGAUUCUAUGAACAGAGACUCUUUCUUCUGUUCAUAGACUUGAACUAAAUGACCCUGGAAGUGACUUCCAACUCCAUGACUCUCAUCUGAAGUCAGUUUACAGCCAUCCUUUGAAUGAGUCACCAUCUGGUGCAGACACCAGCCAGACCAGAACAUCAUGCACUUGACUAGUGCACAUUGUGAUGUUCCUGGAGUGGGGAUCAUGUGCAUUCAUGCAACAGAACCAAAAUUCAUUUAAUGGAUCUGCACAAAUAUGAGUAGAGAUGCUGCCACCUGCCCAGUUCAUGCAGAUGUCACCUUACAGCAGCUUGUGGACGUGUCUGAUGACAUGAAGGCU
rnacentral:lncRNA from 1 species